rnacentral:rRNA from 1 species
AUUGAACGCUGGCGGCAUGCUUUACACAUGCAAGUCGAGCGGCAGCGCGGGGGGCAACCCUGGCGGCGAGCGGCGAACGGGUGAGGAAUACAUCGGAACGUACCCCGGAGUGGGGGAUAACGCCGCGAAAGCGGCGCUAAUACCGCAUAUGCUCUGAGGAGGAAAGUGGGGGACCGCAAGGCCUCACGCUCUGGGAGCGGCCGAUGUCCGAUUAGCUGGUUGGUGGGGUAAAAGGCCCACCAAGGCGACGAUCGGUAGCUGGUCUGAGAGGAUGAUCAGCCACACUGGGACUGAGACACGGCCCAGACUCCUACGGGAGGCAGCAGUGGGGAAUUUGGACAAUGGGGCGAACCCUGAUCCAGCCAUGCCGCGUGCGGGAAG